UCGGCGAGUAGCGCAGCUUGGCAGCGCAACUGGUUUGGGACCAGUAGGUCGGAGGUUCGAAUCCUCUCUCGCCGAUC
rnacentral:tRNA from 1 species